UGAUGUCUGUGUGUGUGUGAUUUAUGAGUGUGUGUGUGUGUGUGUGUGUGUGUGAUUUAUGAGUGUGUGUAUGUGAUGUGUGUGUGAUGUGUGUGAUGUGUGUUUGUGUGUGAGUGUGAGUGUGUGUGUGAUGUAGGUGUGAUGUAUAUGUGACGUUUGUGUGAUGUGUAUGUGUCUGUGUGUGUGAUGUGUGUGUCUGUGUGUGUCUUUUUGUGUGUGUGUGUGUGAUGUGUGUGUGUGUGAUGUAUAUGUGUGUGAUGUGUGUGUGUUUAUGUGUGUGUGUUUGUGUGUGUGUGAUGUGUGUGUGUGUGUGUGAUGUGUGUGUCUGUGAUGUGUGCGUGUAUGUGUGUGUGUGUGUGUGAUGUGUGUGUAUGUAUGAUGUGUGAUGUGUGUGUGUGAUGUGAUAUAUGUGUGAUGUGUGUGUGAUGUGUGUGUGUGUGAUAUAUGUGUGUGUGAUGUGUGAUGUGUGAUGUGUGUGUGUGUG
rnacentral:lncRNA from 1 species